ACAGGAAGGACAUGGAACUGUUGGAGAGAGUCCAGAGGAGGCCAUGGAAGUGCUGAGGCGACUGGAGCACCUCCCCUGUGGAGCCAGGCUGGGAGAGCUGGGGCUGCUCAGCCUGGACAGAAGGUUUUGUGGAGACUCCAGAGCAUCUUCCAGGGUCUGAGGGGCUGCAGGGAACCCAGAGAGAGACAAUUCCUCAGGAACUGCAGUGACAGGACAGGGGGGAACAGUGUCUCAUCAGCUUCACAAGCUCCUUGUUCCAAAGGUCAUGUGUAAUGUGAGAGGACUCAAAUUCUACCACACCCUAGAAAGGAAACCUUUCCAGUGGUCACUUCUACAUAAAGAAAAAUGAUCUCCUGAUUUCCAAAAACUCACAGGUAGGAACUAGAAAUUAUUUACAGCUUUCUCCCUCCAGGGGGUAUCACAUCUUUGUCUCUGUUGAAAUACAAACUACACAACUUGAAGUCCAGGCCCCAUGGAUAAAUCAGACUUUUAUGGUAAAUGGAGAAGAAUUUGACUGUAGGAAAAAUCAGAGUUUCAGAAUUCUGAAAUUGGAGCAGUGUUCUCAGAAAUACAUUCUUGAGAUCUCUUCUGUUAACGGGCCAUGGAGUCUCACUUCCUAACUGAUAAGAAUGACAUCAUCCCAUUGGGAGAUGCUCUGCCCAGCGGGAGGAGCCAAGCAUUCCUACUUGGAUAUAAUCUGAGAUUUUGAGACACCAGGACAGCUUUUCCACUGAAUUCCCAGAGGAAGACCAGCCCCAUCUACACCACCACUGGAUCUUCAGAGGAAAACUCCACCCUUCUACAGGAUCCCUGCUCCAACAGAACCACAGCUGGCACUGCAGGAGGGCUGCAGCCACCAUUUAAUGGGACUGCUGCCAAUACCCUGACCCACAGGGUGUCAGCUCCUAUUCUGACUCUGUCAAUGUUGUUUUAUAUUACUGCACUUUAUUCUUCCUAAUACAGAACUGUUAUUCUGACUAGCAUAU